ACUUUUAAUGGACAUUAGCAGUCCAAUGGUCUUAGGAGCC
rnacentral:tRNA from 1 species